ACGAACGUUGGCGGCGUGGAUUAGGCAUGCAAGUCGAACGAGAACCGCUGGGUAACUGGCGGGGAAAGUGGCGAAAGGGGCAGUAAGGCGUGGGUAACCUACCCUGGGGACCGGGAUAGCCAUUCUAACGAGUGGGUAAUACCGGGCGACGUAGCGAGGUGGCAUCAUCUUGCUACCAAAUGAAUUUCGCCCUGGGAGGGGCUCACGUGGUAUUAGCUUGUUGGCGGGGUAACGGCCCACCAAGGCUUAGAUGCCUAGCAGGUGUGAGAGCACGACCUGCGCCACUGGCACUGAGACACUGGCCAGACACCUACGGGUGGCUGCAGUCGAGGAUCUUCGGCAAUGGGCGCAAGCCUGACCGAGCGACGCCGCGUGCGCGAUGAAGGCCUUCGGGUUGUAAAGCGCUGUCGAGGGGGAGGAAAGCCGCAAGGUCUGACCUAUCCCUGGAGGAAGGACGGGCUAAGUUCGU
rnacentral:rRNA from 1 species